CGGAACACGUACGCAAUCUACCCAAAACUGAUGAAUAGCCCUCCGAAAGGAGGAUUAAUACAUCGUAACUUAAUGAAGUGGCAUCACUUUAUUAAUAUAGCUCCGGCGGUUUUGGAUGAGCGUGCGCCUGAUUAGGUAGUUGGCGGGGUAACGGCCCACCAAGCCUGCGAUCAGUAACUGGUGUGAGAGCACGACCAGUCACACGGGCACUGAGACACGGGCCCG
rnacentral:rRNA from 1 species